UACGAAGGGGGCUAGCGUUGCUCGGAAUCACUGGGCGUAAAGCGCACGUAGGCGGAUUGCUAAGUCAGGGGUGAAAUCCUGGAGCUCAACUCCAGAACUGCCUUUGAUACUGGCGAUCUCGAGUCCGGGAGAGGUGAGUGGAACUGCGAGUGUAGAGGUGAAAUUCGUAGAUAUUCGCAAGGACACCAGUGGCGAAGGCGGCUCACUGGCCCGGUACUGACGCUGAGGUGCGAAAGCGUGGGGAGCAAACAGG
rnacentral:rRNA from 1 species